rnacentral:rRNA from 1 species
GAUAAGUCGUACCCAAGGUCCGUAGGUGACAGCGAGGGAUCAUGCUGAAUGUAGCAAACAUUAAACCCGUGUGAACAUUUGUAUAUCUGCCUGGCAGGUAAUCCCAGGGCGGGAUUCUGGGCCUCUCCGGGGCACUGCCAGCGGUGGAACAUUUCAUACUCUGAUUUACAGUGGAUUUUGAGUGUCUUCCAAAAUAAAUCAAAACUUUCAACAACGGAUCUCUUGGUUCUGGCAUCGAUGAAGAACGCAGCGAAAUGCGAUAAGUAAUGUGAAUUGCAGAAUUCAGUGAAUCAUCGAAUCUUUGAACGCACACUGCACCUAUUAGUAUUCUAGUAGGUAUGCCUGUUCGAGCGUCAUUUCAAACCUCAAGCGUCUGCUUGCUGUUGGAGCAUUGCGUACUUUCUCUCUUGAGAAUCGCAAGCCCUGAAUUAUAGUGGCGGAGCUGCUGUAGACUCUGAGCGUAGUACUACUAAUCGCUUUUGAAAUCUCGGUGGUGCCUGCCGUAAAACCCACUAUAUUUUCUCUUUGUUUGACCUCGGAUCAGGUAGGAAUACCCGCUGAACUUAAGCAUAUCAAUAAGCGGAGGAAAAGAAACCAACAGGGAUUGCCCUAGUAACGGCGAGUGAAGCGGCAACAGCUCAGAUUUGAAAUCUGGUCCUUGGACCCGAAUUGUAAUCUGCAGAGGUAGCUUCGGGCGCGGCGUCUUCUGAGUCCCCUGGAACGGGGCGCCAUAGAGGGUGAGAGCCCCGUACGGUCGACCGCUAAGCCUAUGUGAAGCUCCUUCGACGAGUCGAGUAGUUUGGGAAUGCUGCUCAAAAUGGGAGGUAAAUUUCUUCUAAAGCUAAAUACUGGCCAGAGACCGAUAGCGCACAAGUAGAGUGAUCGAAAGAUGAAAAGCACUUUGAAAAGAGGGUUAAAAAGCACGUGAAAUUGUUGAAAGGGAAGCGCCUAUGACCAGACUUGUGUCUGGCGGCUCCGUAAGCCUUCUGGCUUGCGUACUCCGCCUGAUUCAGGCCAGCAUCGGUUUCUGGAGGGGGACAAAAGCAGCUGGAACGUAGCUCUCUUCGGGGAGUGUUAUAGCCUGUUGCAUAAUACCCUUCUGGGGACCGUGGAUCGCGCUCGCAAGGAGCUGUCAAGGCUGUGGG